GCACUCUUCUUUUAGCAAUGGACAAUCCCGAAACCAUAGUUCCUCGGGCUGGAGAAGCAUGUCUUUAUCACGAAGGACUGCGAGCUUAGAACAAUCAGAGAUGUACAAAGAUUGAUGAGUGGUGAGGUUUUGAAAGCCCUUGGAUGCGAGCUUAGAACAAUCAGAGAUGUACAAAGAUUGAUGAGUGGUGAGGUUUUGAAAGCCCUUGGAGAACAUGUAUUUCAGAUUUUCAAAAUUUCCUAUGGAGAUAUGGCCAGGAUGGGUUAGAGGAGGCAGCAUCAUUCCUAUCUCUUCUUUUGAAAAUGACACCACAUC
rnacentral:lncRNA from 1 species